rnacentral:rRNA from 1 species
UGGUGACAGCGGAGGGAUCAUUAC